GCUCCAGGAUUAAAAAUCCCAAUUCAGUAAUGCCUAUUCUCAUUCCUAUAAUAUUACAAAUAACAAAUAUUAAUUUUAUUCAGAAUAACAACAGCUUUUUAACUUAAAAAAAAAAGAAACAUUAGAGGCCUCAUUUCAUCUUAGCAAGAAAUCCCCCAGGGCAGAUUCAAGACAGACAAGCACUGAAGGUUUUUUGAUUUUACACUUUUACAUCCAGCUCAGGCUAACUUUCACCUACCUCAAUAAAUAUAUCUUCCUCACUAAGUGAGCUUUACAUGUGGAGGAAGCACAUAGCAGAUAUGCUUUCAGUAUUGAGAGGACAACACACAUAGGCACACAAUUGGACACAGAAACGGUCUGACUCAACUAAACAUCACAUGUGCAGGAAAAUACACCUGCAUAUGGACACAUAUUUACCUAAUGGUAGAGACUAAUACACAGAGCACGUUGCAAAAAUACACAUGUAUAUAUAAAUUAAGCGAUGCAUACAUAAUUAGAUUUCUCUGUUAUGUAAAAAGUGUUUUCUACCACCUUAUCUUGUAUUUUCUUGGUGUGUGUGUGUGUUCUUUUAUCUGUCUCUUUAGACUGAUUUUGGAUGGCAGCAAUUACCUUCCUCAUGUCUCCCCAGUCAGCACUACAAUUUGUACAGUACAUUGCACAACAUAAUACUUUAAUUUAUUUUUAAUGAAUUAAGAAGCAUAUCCAGGCAAAACUGUGGAUAUAGGCAAGAUCCAGACAUACACAACCCAAGAAGUAUUUAAAAUUGAGAGAGCUGCAUAGUGUGAGAUUGAGACAGAUGUAUGGGUUUGAGAAGAUAUGAGCAAGUAAGAUUUAGUUAGAAAGGGAGUAAAUGGCAGGGUAGAACAGACUGGCUAUCUAACAAAGUGAGCUCAGGAUUUUGGUAUUAAUUAUACAAAAUUAACAUUCUUAGUAAUCUCAUGGAAUUAUUUGUUUUCUCAAAUUAUUGAUUAAUUCAUAUAAACAUUUGAAUGUUUAAAAUCAACCGAAUGCUCUUUUAUUCUAACCCUUUUAGAGUUUCUAAGAUAUUUAGCAAAUUUUUAAAAUAUUUAAAACUUCAAUGCUUAGGUCAUGCUCAUUUUCUAAAACAUUAUUACUUUCUCAGUAUUUGUUUUACUUCCAGCGUUAGGAAAAAAAUAUUUGAAAAACAGAAAGGCUGUACUUUAAUCAGUCUGUUUCAAAAACUAAUAUUGAAUCCUUUCUAAUGUAAUCACUCAGACCUAAGUCAAAGAGGAGUUAAUUCUGCGUUGCUCUUUAAUUAUUCACAAGUCCUUUUUCUCAUAGUAUCAGGGCUCAGCUCCUAACUAAUAGCUAUGUUUAACCAGUUGUUUUAAACUAUAAAUUUCUCUAACAGGGUUAUGCAAAGAUGGAUUCUAUUUUUUUAGUUAUGGAAAUUAUUACAUUCCUUAUUGAUUUACAUGAUCACAGCAUAAUUGAAUAGGAUAUAGGGGGUUGUAUAUUUGAACUCCAAAGAGGUGUUUUACCUUAUUCCACUUCUAGAACAAAAAGUCAUGAUCCAAGGAGGUAGGAGGUACAAUAUUAUAUAGACAUAAGGUUAAAAUUGAGAAUCUGUGUUGUGUUUUAGUCUAUAUAAUGGGUAGAGGGAAGGCUAGCAAAUGAACAUAAUGGACAACAUGAUCCUUAACUUAAGAGAAAAAAAGGAAAGAGUGAUUUACAGAUAGCUAAAGUCCUUGCCAGAGUUUAUAAUGCUUUCCUCAGCAAGUAAGUUGAUUGCAAAUGAAUAAUUUUUCAGGUGACAUAACACAACUCCAGAAGACAACCCACAUUUCCAUUCUGAAGAAUUCUAUGAUAAACAAGUCAUUUUAUCUGAUAUACAGUGACAGAUGAUUAAGACAGUGCAUUAUACUGUAUUCAGAAUUUUUUUUUCAGGACUAUCAAUCCAACCAUAAUGGUAUGUUAGAGAAGCAUGCACACUUGGACAAUUCCUCUCAUAACAAUAGCAUUCCAAAUGUUUCUGCAGAUGUUUGGUGAAGAUUGCCUUUGUGACAAGAAUGGAUGUUUAGAUGCUUAUAAGCAUAAAAAUCUAACACAAGAAAAGGAGAAACACUCUUCUCUAAGAGUAAAGUUUGUUCCUCUCAAAUAGUUUUGAAACUGAAGUUUCAAUGUGCGAUGUGGACUUUAAUAAGCUUUUAUACAUAUUACAGAAUAAGCUGAAUUAUACUGUCAUUUUUAACAGAGCAGAGUAUCUCUCCCAAGAAAUAAGGCUUUAUUUAAGACUUUACAGGGAAAAUAUCAAGGCCUUGUUAUAUAAAAGUGGGUUCAGAUUUUACUUGGGUAUUUAGCAACAGGAAGUAAACUAUGUGACUAUAAACUGGAUUAGAAAUAUAAACAGCUCCUCCUGUUUCACCAACCUGUAGUUGGCCUUUCAGAGCUACUAUUAAUCCUGGUGGAUCUUACAAAUGCUAAUACUCUCACCUUUUACUUCCUACUUUCUUCUGCAGCAUUAACAAUAAAUUGUCAUGAUUGAGGUAAAUCUUCCUGUUUUUCCUCUCCCAGUGGAACAUAUGGACUCUAUUAUAUGCAUAUACUGAGUUCUUUAUAUAUAUAUAUAUGUAAAGGAACUGGAAAUAUUGAAACCUAGAGAAUUACAGAAUUGUUAGAUGGCAAUGACAAUUUUCUGUUAUUCCAGUGUCUUUACUCUUAUAUCCAUCCUGCUCAUAAAUAACAUAAAGUUAAUUCAUUAUUUACAUCUGAAAUGUUUCUACUUUGAUACAUUUCCCUUUUAAUUAUACAUUCCUUGAGACCAGAGAUAAUUUUUUUUAGGCUAACUGCAAAAAGUGCUUACUAUCUCAUACUGUAGUUUAUAAAUGUAGCACAUGGUUUGUAAGCACUCAAUAAUGUAGAUAACUGUGGUGAUAAUAUUAUCAGUAUGAGCAAUUCUUUCCAUUUUAGAAAAAAGGAUAGAAAGUUAUAUUUUGAUUAGCAAGGAAAAUGAUUUUGUUUUAAGAAUUUUUUAAUUAUGAAGUAUUCUUAAAGUAAUAACAUCAACUAUAAAUUAAAAUUAUUCAUAAACAUAAAUUAGUUUUAAAUGACCUCUCUGAAUGGUUUCAACACAAAGAAAAUCAUACUGGGUAAAUCGGUACAGCACAUUUUUAGAAAUUAGCAAGACUUCAAUAAUUUAAUGAGUAUCUAAUGUCUUACCAUUCAUUUUUGUCGACUUGAGUUUGUUGAAAAUUCAUUAAGAUGUUUAUGUGUAUAGCUUAAUUUUGAUGAAGAUGAAAGCAACUUUAGGUUAAAAAAUAUACUGCAGAGAGCACCUAUGGAUGAUAUCGAGUGAUACAUAUGAAAGAUACAGACUUUGUAGUUGGGUUUGAUGUCCAGCCUGACUACACUUAUUAGUGAACAAAUAUCCUGUGUUGGAUGUUGACUUAAGUACAAUGUGUUACAAAAUCAUGGGAUCUCUGUGCUGAUGGAACUUACAGCCUAGUGGGUGGGGUACUCUAUUUUCAAAUAAUCACAUAUUUUUAAAAUGUGAAAAUUUCCAAAUUAAAACAGUAAAACCUGUGGAAAUUCUGUUUCCAUUAUUUUAUGCAAAUUUAUAAAGGUUGGUUGACAGGGAGGUAAAGAAAGAUUUUCCUAAGGAACUGCCAAAGGACUGAGAUCUGAAAAACAUAGGAAUUAACUAGGUAAAAGGAAGAAAAAGAGGGUGAGUGCCAUGGUCCUGCUGCAGGAGAAGGCAGAGAAGAAUCAGGAGGAAAAGUCACUGCAGCAGGCCAGUGAGCCGGGAAAGUUUGAAACAAGAUGAGGCUAGCAUGCAGAGCCAGAACUUGCAGGCCUUUGUGAACACAUGAAUUAUUUCUGGUGUGCAAGGGUGAAUCUAGAAUUAUAGUCAGAUGACCAGAUCUGCAUUUCAAAGAGCAACAACAAAAAACAAACACAAAACAAAAAAACAAACUGCAGUGUUCAUAGUGGGAUGCAACAAUGGAAGCAAACAGAUCAGGUGGAACUACUGAAGAAAUAGCAAUGAAAGAUUUAAUUAACUCUUCUGGAUGGCAUUUUCCUCAAGCAUAAAAUAAGGGGCCAGACUGGAUGGCUGCAAAGAUCCCUUCUAUUCCUAACAGUCUGUGGAUCAGGUAACUGGAAAGUUAAACCUGCACUUAAUGGGCAGGAUACUCAUUAUAGCAAGUCAAGUUGCUGAAAGCUGAGGCAGAUACCUCUCCAGAGCAAAUGGCCUCCUUGAUCCUAUGGCAAUAGAGAUAUUGUAAAUUGGACAACUGAAAAGAGACCAUCUGCUUGUUUGUAUUGAAAAUGCAAUCUGGAGUGUCACCAAACACCUGUCCUCACGAUUGUCAGGUACCUCACUCUUCCAGUCUGCUUGGAUUUCCUCCUGUUGGCUGGAGCUGGGUCUAGCCCUCCAGAGCCUACUCAAGUCUAACAGGGGCUGCUGCUGUUACCGGUCUACGCACCAUAGCUGGAGAACCACUGCUCUAAAACACUAAAUUAUACCUACUGCUAGGAUCAACAAUUCAAGUGUUUCCCGGAUUGUGCAUGACAAGGUACUUGAAUGCUUGACCUCUUUGGUAAUUUUUUUUGGGGGGAUGUCUGUUUUAAUGACUACCAAGCCUUCCACUUAUGAUUGACAAUGUCUGCUUUCCUGAGAUACUAUAAUGUUGAGGCCUAAUACAACUACAUGUUAAGUGUCAUAUCAGAUUUUUCCACUUUAAAGGAAUCUGCAUAUGUAGACCCAGAUCUAUCAUGUAUUGAUUUCAGUUUCCAGAAGCCAAUCGUAAUUUCAAUAGUUUAUGCCUCUUGGAGGAUGUUUCAUUAUGUUUUUAUAAAAGAUGUAUAUUUUCCUUGUUAAGGGCUGGGCAAUAUCCCAGGUCUACAUGCUAUAAACCAAUAAAUGAUGUGAACAAAUUAAGGGAUACAUUUGACACGUUGACUGUUUUAGGCAAACAUGAAGACAUUUGAGUACAAAUGCAGUGUUUGUCAGUAGGACUCUUAGCAGACUGAAGGAUACCAAACACUCACCCAGAGAUGAUAUGUGUGAUGACAAAUGAAGUCAUUUUAUUUAACUAUUAUUUUAAAUUAUCAAAAUAUGUGAUACUUACAUGUAACAUUAUGAUUGCUUUAAUAGUAAUGAGACUUUUUCCACUCUUAGGGUCUACUUAGGGUAAUACAUUUAGCACUUAAAGGAAGAUUUAAAAUGGAGAUUUCCUGACCUGUGGUAAAGGAGUAGAAUCCCCUGGUCUAUUUGUUCUUUAAGAAGCAAAAACAAACAAGCAAAAACCAUUCUGACCUACGUUCAUAUUAAAUCAUCUCUAAUUCUUUGACAUAAAUACCAGAUCAUAAGUAAUACUUGGUUCAUUCCACAAACAAAUUGAGAAAUGGGGACUUAAAAUAGUUUACAAGUUAUUUAAGGAAUCCAAAAGUACUUAUUUGAAUAUAAUCUUGUACUAUAAAAGAAAUUUGAAUGAAAAAUCAGUUCUUUUGUCAAAAAUAAUUUAAAUUUUUUUUUAAGAAGGAAAAUAACAUAGCAAUACCUGUUGCGAAUUUAGUUUAAGCUGUAAAAGAACAACUGGCCCUUUCCAGUACUGCAAAGAAAUACUUCAGUUGCACAAGUACCUAAUCCUUCAGCCCCGUGAGUCAUGCACAGCUGCUCAAAGAAGCUGUGUUCUGGCCUCCUGUCAAGCACCUCCACCUCCACAUGCUACUUCAGCCUCCUAGGCUUGUUCUUGCUCACACUCUUCAGCCGAUUAACUUUUAUUCAACCUUCAAGAGUUACAUGGGCCGCAUCUCCUAGUUUGAUAGAAAGAAGAAAACUUCUAAAGAAUUUAGUGGGGGCAAGAUAUUAUCUUGAUAGAGGUAUUAUAGAAAAGAAUGUUGGAAGAAGAAACAAAAAUAAAAUGGGUUUAGAAGGCUGGCUUUGUCACCAAGCCUUGGGCUUUGGAUAAAUCACUCGGUUUCUUAAGGAUUUAUUUGUGUUAUGGAUGGACUGGAAUAAAUAAGCUUUAGGACCAUUUAUAAAUCCAGAUUGUAGCCUAUGGCCAUUUCUUAUAUUCUCUCUCUACCUGGAAACUUUUAACCUAUUUGCACCUUCAAGAAAAGUUGUAACAGAUUAAAUUCACACUCACAAUCCAUGAUAUCAAUGGGCUCAACUACUAAAUCUGAAUGACAUUUACUAACACAUAUCAUUAAUAUGUUACCUUAAUUCUACACUGUUAUUUAUAUGUCAUUAGUGAUCUCAUGAUUUAUUUAUAAACUUUAAUAAAGGCAGGAUCCAGAGGAGCUUGUGAGUGUUUAUA